UGCUCCACCGGAAAAAGAAGAGUGGCGAACGGGUGAGUAACACGUGGGUAACCUGCCCAUCAGAAGGGGAUAACACUUGGAAACAGGUGCUAAUACCGUAUAACAAUCGAAACCGCAUGGUUUUGAUUUGAAAGGCGCUUUCGGGUGUCGCUGAUGGAUGGACCCGCGGUGCAUUAGCUAGUUGGUGAGGUAACGGCUCACCAAGGCCACGAUGCAUAGCCGACCUGAGAGGGUGAUCGGCCACAUUGGGACUGAGACACGGCCCAAACUCCUACGGGAGGCAGCAGUAGGGAAUCUUCGGCAAUGGACGAAAGUCUGACCGAGCAACGCCGCGUGAGUGAAGAAGGUUUUCGGAUCGUAAAACUCUGUUGUUAGAGAAGAACAAGGAUGAGAGUAACUGUUCAUCCCUUGACGGUAUCUAACCAGAAAGCCACGGCUAACUACGUGCCAGCAGCCGCGGUAAUACGUAGGUGGCAAGCGUUGUCCGGAUUUAUUGGGCGUAAAGCGAGCGCAGGCGGUUUCUUAAGUCUGAUGUGAAAGCCCCCGGCUCAACCGGGGAGGGUCAUUGGAAACUGGGAGACUUGAGUGCAGAAGAGGAGAGUGGAAUUCCAUGUGUAGCGGUGAAAUGCGUAGAUAUAUGGAGGAACACCAGUGGCGAAGGCGGCUCUCUGGUCUGUAACUGACGCUGAGGCUCGAAAGCGUGGGGAGCAAACAGGAUUAGAUACCCUGGUAGUCCACGCCGUAAACGAUGAGUGCUAAGUGUUGGAGGGUUUCCGCCCUUCAGUGCUGCAGCUAACGCAUUAAGCACUCCGCCUGGGGAGUACGACCGCAAGGUUGAAACUCAAAGGAAUUGACGGGGGCCCGCACAAGCGGUGGAGCAUGUGGUUUAAUUCGAAGCAACGCGAAGAACCUUACCAGGUCUUGACAUCCUUUGACCACUCUAGAGAUAGAGCUUCCCCUUCGGGGGCAAAGUGACAGGUGGUGCAUGGUUGUCGUCAGCUCGUGUCGUGAGAUGUUGGGUUAAGUCCCGCAACGAGCGCAACCCUUAUUGUUAGUUGCCAUCAUUUAGUUGGGCACUCUAGCAAGACUGCCGGUGACAAACCGGAGGAAGGUGGGGAUGACGUCAAAUCAUCAUGCCCCUUAUGACCUGGGCUACACACGUGCUACAAUGGGAAGUACAACGAGUCGCGAAGUCGCGAGGCUAAGCUAAUCUCUUAAAGCUUCUCUCAGUUCGGAUUGUAGGCUGCAACUCGCCUACAUGAAGCCGGAAUCGCUAGUAAUCGCGGAUCAGCACGCCGCGGUGAAUACGUUCCCGGGCCUUGUACACACCGCCCGUCACACCACGAGAGUU
rnacentral:rRNA from 1 species